rnacentral:rRNA from 1 species
CCUACGGGUGGCUGCAGUGGGGAAUAUUGCACAAUGGGCGCAAGCCUGAUGCAGCCAUGCCGCGUGUGUGAAGAAGGCCUUCGGGUUGUAAAGCACUUUCAGCGGGGAGGAAGGCGUUAAGGUUAAUAACCUUGGCGAUUGAAGUUACCCGCAGAAGAAGCACCGGCUAACUCCGUGCCAGCAGCCGCGGUAAUACGGAGGGUGCAAGCGUUAAUCGGAAUUACUGGGCGUAAAGCGCACGCAGGCGGUCUGUCAAGUCGGAUGUGAAAUCCCCGGGCUCAACCUGGGAACUGCAUUCGAAACUGGCAGGCUAGAGUCUUGUAGAGGGGGGUAGAAUUCCAGGUGUAGCGGUGAAAUGCGUAGAGAUCUGGAGGAAUACCGGUGGCGAAGGCGGCCCCCUGGACAAAGACUGACGCUCAGGUGCGAAAGCGUGGGGAGCAAACAGGAUUAGAUACCCUUGUAGUC